UACAGAGGGUGCAAGCGUUGUUCGGAAUUAUUGGGCGUAAAGGGCGCGUAGGCGGUGCGGUAAGUCUGUAGUGAAAUCUCUGGGCUCAACUCAGAGUCUGCUGCAGAAACUGCCGUGCUUGAGUGUGGGAGAGGUGAGUGGAAUUCCCGGUGUAGCGGUGAAAUGCGCAGAUAUCGGGAGGAACACCAAUUGCGAAGGCAGCUCGCUGGGACGUCACUGACGCUGAGACGCGAAAGCGUGGGGGGCAAACAGG
rnacentral:rRNA from 1 species